UGAGAAGCAGUUGAGUCUAUCUA
rnacentral:siRNA from 1 species